AGACCUGUUAUAUUAUACUCUCUGUUCAUAUCUAACACACACUCUUCUGAAACCACUGCAAAAUCCCCCUAAUCUACAAUUUUUUUUUGCAGGUUCUACUCUGCGUCGGGGGCUCAUUGGACUUGGACCUGUAAAAAAAAAAUGAGACUUAUAACUGGAAGUUGUCUUAGAAAUCAUCUAGUGGGGGCAGGGAACAGGAAGAGCAGGGAAGGAGGGAGGGGGAGAGA
rnacentral:lncRNA from 1 species